AAUUAGUGUGACAUGCCCGUUGGGUGUUAAACUCUGAUGUAUUAUUUAUUAUUUAAUUGUUUGGGAUAACGAGAUGUUACAGCUAGU
rfam:Medicago truncatula strain A17 unplaced genomic scaffold scaffold0244, whole genome shotgun sequence.